GGGGGAGUAAUUAUCAGUGACGUUGAGAGUGUAUAGAACCAAAUUGUUCACUGAGGUGUCAUUUAGUUCAAUAGUGUCACCACAUUUAGUAAUCAGAAAUGAAAGUGUGGGGGUAAUGGCCCCAUAGUUGGUCGUGAAGGAUCUGACACUGACACGCACCCGUUGGCAUUUUUGAAGAGUAGACAUAUAAUCCUACUGACCUUUGCCACCCUGUAGUGUAAUGAUGAUAGUUGGACAGAUUUCGGAUAAGCUUUAUCAUCC
rnacentral:lncRNA from 1 species